rnacentral:rRNA from 1 species
AACUGGGUCUAAUACUGGAUAUUGACUUUUCACCGCAUGGUGGGGGGUUGAAAGCUUUUGUGGUUUUGGAUGGACUCGCGGCCUAUCAGCUUGUUGGUGAGGUAAUGGCUCACCAAGGCGACGACGGGUAGCCGGCCUGAGAGGGUGACCGGCCACACUGGGACUGAGACACGGCCCAGACUCCUACGGGAGGCAGCAGUGGGGAAUAUUGCACAAUGGGCGAAAGCCUGAUGCAGCGACGCCGCGUGAGGGAUGACGGCCUUCGGGUUGUAAACCUCUUUCAGUAGGGAACAAGGCUACACGUUGUGUGGUUGAGGGUACCUGCAGAAGAAGCGCCGGCUAACUACGUGCCAGCAGCCGCGGUAAUACGUAGGGCGCAAGCGUUAUCCGGAAUUAUUGGGCGUAAAGAGCUCGUAGGCGGUUUGUCGCGUCUGCCGUGAAAGUCCGGGGCUCAACUCCGGAUCUGCGGUGGGUACGGGCAGACUAGAGUGAUGUAGGGGAGACUGGAAUUCCUGGUGUAGCGGUGAAAUGCGCAGAUAUCAGGAGGAACACCGAUGGCGAAGGCAGGUCUCUGGGCAUUAACUGACGCUGAGGAGCGAAAGCAUGGGGAGCGAACAGGAUUAGAUACCCUGGUAGUCCAUGCCGUAAACGUUGGGCACUAGGUGUGGGGGACAUUCCACGUUUUCCGCGCCGUAGCUAACGCAUUAAGUGCCCCGCCUGGGGAGUACGGCCGCAAGGCUAAAACUCAAAGGAAUUGACGGGGGCCCGCACAAGCGGCGGAGCAUGCGGAUUAAUUCGAUGCAACGCGAAGAACCUUACCAAGGCUUGACAUGAACUGGAAACACUUGGAAACAAGUGCCCCGCUUGCGGUCGGUUUACAGGUGGUGCAUGGUUGUCGUCAGCUCGUGUCGUGAGAUGUUGGGUUAAGUCCCGCAACGAGCGCAACCCUCGUUCUAUGUUGCCAGCACGUAAUGGUGGGGACUCAUGGGAGACUGCCGGGGUCAACUC